UACGUAGGGUGCAAGCGUUAAUCGGAAUUACUGGGCGUAAAGCGUGCGCAGGCGGUUGUGCAAGACAGAUGUGAAAUCCCCGGGCUUAACCUGGGAACUGCAUUUGUGACUGUACGGCUAGAGUGCGGCAGAGGGGGAUGGAAUUCCGCGUGUAGCAGUGAAAUGCGUAGAUAUGCGGAGGAACACCGAUGGCGAAGGCAAUCCCCUGGGCUAGCACUGACGCUCAGGCACGAAAGCGUGGGGAGCAAACAGG
rnacentral:rRNA from 1 species